rnacentral:rRNA from 1 species
UUAGGUCUUCCUAAAACCCUAAAGGCACCAGAUCCUGUCUGAUCUCAGAAGGUAAGCAGGCCAUCCCUGGUUAGUACCUGAAGAGGUGACCCCCAACAAAUACCAGGUGGCACCUGGC